GAUGAACGCUGGCGGCGUGCUUAACACAUGCAAGUCGACGAGAAGUGAAGACGGAACCCUUCGGGCGGAAGGCUUUAUUUCGAGUGGCGGACGGGUGAGUAACGCGUGGGUAACCUGCCUCAUACAGGGGGAUAACAGUUGGAAACGACUGUUAAUACCGCAUAAGACCACAGCACCGCAUGGUGCGGGGGUAAAAACUCCGGUGGUAUGAGAUGGACCCGCGUUCGAUUAGCCAGUUGGCGGGGUAACGGCCCACCAAAGCGACGAUCGAUAGCCGAUCUGAGAGGAUGACCGGCCACAUUGGGACUGAGACACGGCCCAAACUCCUACGGGAGGCAGCAGUGGGGAAUAUUGCACAAUGGGGGAAACCCUGAUGCAGCGACGCCGCGUGAGUGAAGAAGUAUUUCGGUAUGUAAAGCUCUAUCAGCAGGGAAGAAAAUGACGGUACCUGAGUAAGAAGCCCCGGCUAACUACGUG
rnacentral:rRNA from 1 species